CGAAGGGUUACCUCAUACCCUGUCAGGCUAGGAUGGCAUGCGUCGGAUUCGAGCAAAUCCGGGGUGUGAAGCCCAUCUAACAAUGUAUCUGUGAGGAAAAUAUCUUUCCAAGAAGCAGGGCUAGCCUCAAUGACCUGCCAUGG
rfam:Paenibacillus sp. Soil522 contig_87, whole genome shotgun sequence.